rnacentral:lncRNA from 1 species
GUCUUCUCCUGGCUGCCUUCAGAUCAAGAUGUAGAACUCUUGGCUCCUGCAGUACCAUGUCAGCCUGUGUGGGGCCAUACUUCCUGCCACGAUGAUAACAGACUGAUCCUCUGAACCUGCCGAAUUCGAGGACUAAAAGUCUGAGGGGUUGAACUGUGUCACCAGCCAGAUCCAGCCACAGAAUAGUUGUGGGAAGCUUUGACUCAAAGCAGCAAUGGGAACAUUGUUUGCAAAGUGCAAACUCAGGACUGAGGGAAUGGCUCCGUUGGCAAAGUGCCCGCCUUGCAAGCUUAGAGGACCUGUGUUCAGUCCCCGGCUCCACACAAGAAGCUGUACUGUGGAGAUGAAGGCAGGAGGGCCUCUUGAAAUUU